CAACUCCAGGACCUACAUCGUGCUUCACCUGGAAAAUGCGAUCACAUUUAAACAAACAUAAAUGACAUACAAGGCGUUAUGGGGCUCAUUUCGAAACGUGGAUCUACUUCUUUCAUAUGACAAUAAUCCGUCCAAUGAGAACUCAAAAUGCAAAAUUCAUUGGGACUGCAAUCAGCGAAAUACCGAAUGUAAAGGGUGCAAAAUAGUAGAGCAAAUUGGACAUUUAGUCAAAAUAUGGGUCAAAACCCCUGUAUAGGGAUACAACCUGAUUUCAAGUAUAUUUUAUAUUUUUUUUUUUCAUACAAAUUUCGGCAAAUAUUGGUAAUUUGAGAAGAAACCAUCCUUGCAAAAAAUUAUAAUUUUUGGUAAAAUCAUCA